rnacentral:misc_RNA from 1 species
CUCUCUCUCUCUCUCUCUCUUAAUAUUGGCAAACAAGGGCACGCCCGCCCGCGAGCGCGCUCUCUAUUUCAAUUUCUUUAGAGUGAAAUUCAGCCCCCAGCGAAGAAAAGAGAAAAGCGGAGGAACCGAAAACAACCGUGAGCGGAUGAUCUGCACGGAGGGAAAAUAACUUCCAUUCAGAUUUGGGGAUUUUUCAUUUUCAUUUAUAUGUUUCUAGGGUUUUGUCUCUGUUUCAAUUUGAUGAUUGUCCUCUCUCUCUCUCUCUCUCU